rnacentral:misc_RNA from 1 species
GAUGAAGACGCAGCGAAAUGCGAUAAGUAAUGUGAAUUGCAGAAUUCCGUGAAUCAUCGAAUCUUUGAACGCACAUUGCGCCCCCUGGCAUUCCGGGGGGCAUGCCUGUCCGAGCGUCAUUUCUGCCCUCAAGCACGGCUUGUGUGUUGGGUGUGGUCCCCCCGGGGACCUGCCCGAAAGGCAGCGGCGACGUCCGUCUGGUCCUCGAGCGUAUGGGGCUUUGUCACUCGCUCGGGAAGGACCUGCGGGGGUUGGUCACCACCAUAUUUUACCACGGUUGACCUCGGAUCAGGUAGGAGUUACCCGCUGAACUUAAGCAUAUCAAUAAGCGGAGGA